rnacentral:rRNA from 1 species
UACGGGGGGGGCAAGCGUUGUUCGGAAUUACUGGGCGUAAAGGGCUCGUAGGCGGCCAAUUAAGUCAGACGUGAAAUCCCUCGGCUUAACCGGGGAACUGCGUCUGAUACUGGAUGGCUUGAGUUUGGGAGAGGGAUGCAGAAUUCCAGGUGUAGCGGUGAAAUGCGUAGAUAUCUGGAGGAAUACCGGUGGCGAAGGCGGCAUCCUGGACCGACAUUGACGCUGAGGAGCGAAAGCUAGGGGAGCAAACGGG